UUGCCCAGUGUCUGCUGAUACCAAGAAUUACAAAAUGAAGCUAGGUCAAAGACAGGUUCAGCAUCUGGUGUGUGAGUCAGGAGAAAGGAGGAAGCCGCGGGCCGAUUCUACCACAGUCAUUUUCACAGCGUGCCACGGGUACUGAAGUUGAAGACUGAAAAGAAACCUGUAGACCCACAGGUUCAGAAAGACCUACGAUGGCAAGAGAAGGGAAAGCCAACGGUUGGAAAAAAAAAAAAUCAGCCCUGUUGUCAAACCUGAAGGUGCCAGGAGGGUGCGAGCUUCCCUGGGAGACACACACGCACAGCCUCCUGAGUUCUCCAUGGUAGAAUCUGGAAUCUGGUCACCAUUCAGAGUGGAAGCCAAACAGUCCCCAGAAAAGUGCUCCUUCAAGCCUGCUGAUCAUGCAGCACCCUGUUCUGGAUCCGAUGAAAGAUCCAUCUCUUGGUCCAACAUGGUUCUGGAGCUCAGUACCUAUCCAAUUUCUCAGAGCCAGGCUGUACAGCUCCUUCACAGUCCUAUCCUAUCAACAUGGCGAGCAAGCCCGCCCUGACUCGGCAUCUGCACAGCUAGAUUAGAAGUCUACAGGGAAAGCGGUGAGGUGCAGAGACAUGUCACGUCUGUCACACUUCCCCAAUGACACCGACAAAGGCCACUUGACCUACGUCUGUGAAACGAUCUAUGUCUGGCUGUCGGAUUUCCCCCACGGAUAUCUUGUUACUGGCUGUCAUUUCAAGCCACACUGCCCAUCCACUGUUGAAGAAUUAUACGAAGACCUGGCCAUGUCGUUCGGGAUGCACAGUGCUUGCCUAGCAUGCACAAAGCCCUGGGUUUGAGCCCCGGUAUUUCAUAAAUCAGGCCUGGUGGUGCAUGCCUGUGAGGGUCAGAAGUUCAAGGCCACUCUCAGCCACAUAGUCUGUUUCAGGCGCCCUGGUUGGUGCACAUGAGAUUCAUUCUUACUCCUUUUCUUCCACCAACAAACGAACAAACAACAACAAAAACCCAGUGACAGGAAGGAUUGCUCAGGGCUGGGGACAGCAAGGCUCUUUUUCCGGCCAGCCAGAGAAAGUUAAGGGAGG